rnacentral:lncRNA from 1 species
AGAUUGGCAGCCCUCCGAAAAUACAAGAUUUUCUUUCACAUUUUGGUAGAUUGCUAGAUGCAGAAUGGUUGGUCACUUUAAAGCCCUCAAAUUACAUGACAUUUUCAUUGGUUUAAGUUGUGUGUCAAUUAGCCUCUUGAGUGUGACUUAAUUAAUUGACUUUAUAAUUGUUUAUACGAAAGACACUUAAUUAUUAGACGCUUUAUAAAAUACAUGUUAGAUGUAGAAUGGUAGAUUGCAAAAUUCAUACAAAAUUGUGAAUUAGUGAGAUUGAACUCACCCAUGGUAUGAAGAACAAUAUGGCACAUAUUUCUUAUAUUAUGCGUUAUUUCAUUUAGAGCAAAUUAGAAUUAUUCACGUUAUACUGAGCGCGACAUUAAUCUAACACUUUACUCACAAAGAUUGGCAGUUGAGUUCAUCAUGGCUUGAAAUUAAAGAAGCUUGCACUAAAAUUGGGCUCUUCAAGUUUCAACAAUUCAAAACAAAAGAAAGGUUGGUUUGUCUAACAUUUUUUUUUUUUUGGUAAGAAUGUUUGGUUGAUCACCUCUUUAAUUCUGUCACCUGCUGCAGCCAGUGAUCCAAACAAAGAUGCACACAAAUCUAUUGGUCAAAAAUUGACUCUAAAUCUAAUAAAUAAAAUCUUUUCAUUUCCUCAACUUAAUUAUCGACCAAUAUGUAACCUACAUCUGCUCUUAAACUUUCACGAAACUCACAAAUUUUGCUCGGCGUCACAGAAAUUUCUUCUCAUUUCAAGUGCAUAUAACACAGUGAGUUGUCUUGACGACCCCUUUUUUAUAUUGUUUCAUCAUCAUAUGGCCGCUGCAUUUCGUGAAAAAGAGGCUUCAAGUGUAUGAAUGAGAUGGUUCUUUAUUUUGCAUGCAACUCUUUUAAGGUAUGUUAAUUGAUUCUUGUUGUUUAAUUCAUUCUUUUUGUUCCUGUUUUACUUAUAAUAAUCAUCAUCAUAACUAUAUUGUUAGUUCAUUCUUUUCUUUGUUGUGGGUAAAAUCUUUGACUUAUAUGCUCCAAACUUCUUAAUGUUAAUUAAAUUCUGCAGCAUUUUUGUUUUCCGAAACGUGUUUCUCUAUUUUCUCGCAUAAAACUUACAGAAAGCAAGAGUGGCUCUUCUGCAUACACCUGUUGUCAUUGCCAUCAGUACUGUUUUUUUUUUUUUUUUCCUUCUCUUUUCUUUUAACUUUUUGUUCUUGUUUUUGUUAUAAUAAGUAAGUUUAAUGGCUGUUAUUUUAUAUAUUUUUAAUGGUUGUUAUUUUAUAUAUUUAGUUUAUUAAGAACCAACUUUGUUCCAUGUUAAUAAUGCAUCAACUAGAGUAAGAGUACCAAUAGACAUGGUUAUUUCUAAAUAAUAGUGACAUUUUGCUAAUAUAUGUAAAGUUUUGUUAUAAUGUUCACUAAAUUUUGAGGUUUCAUAAAACAUAUAUCUUGAGGUAGUGGUUACAGUGGAGCUGCUUCAUUGUGGAACAUUAAUGAUGACCGUCAGAUCAUAAUAGUAAGUGCAUAAUUUAUAUGUAUCUUUGUGAUCAUACGAUCAUCAUCAAUGCUCUACUGUGAAGCAGUUCGUAUCUUGAAAAUUUAUAUUCAAAUUUAAUUUAGAGCUAAUUACAUGAUUUAAAGCGAAAAUGUAGCCCCACUUAGACUUCUUACCUUUUAUUAAAAAAGGAGAAAGAAGAAGACAUUUCAUUCACACAAAAAGAACAAAAUGGAAAAUGAAGUACCAUUAUUAUUUUUUUAUACGUAGAAGUAAUUUGUGUGUGUGUGUGUAUUAAAUGCGUUUUUGGUGCUAUAAUUGGUACUUGAAAAUUGAAAGCAUGUAAAAUUGGUCUAAAGGACCACUCUAAAUGCACACAACACACGCAAACAAAAUGAACUAUAAAAUAUUUUAAUAUUCUAACAUAUGUACAAAAAAUGCAAAAAUAAUAAUACAUUAUACAAUUGUAAAUAUAAUAACUUCUCUAUUUAUUUAUUUAAUAGUAUCAUAAACCAUUGGUCGACAAGAUAAAUAAAUAAAGAAAAAAAAAUCGAGGGUACAAACUUAUAUAUAAUAAAUGUUACUAAUUUGGGGCAGAAAAUAUUAAGGAUUAUGUAGAAAUUAGCAUUAGAAACCUCAAAAAAUAGAAAGGGAAAAAAACUAAUAUAUUUGCAAAUAAAUAUAUGAUAAAAAAUUUAUUUAAGAUUCUUAAAAUUUGAAGCACGUGAGCAUGGAACAAAGCAAGGAAUUUUCUGUCAAACAAAGUACGGCCAGACUUACCAAAUUAGUGUGCGACAAGUCAAGUAGUCAACCAUCUACCAAUCGCAGGCUGUUUUUGAGUAGACUGGUAGCUUCAGUUGACCGUUAGAUAUGAUUAAAAUCAUCAGUCAAACAUCAUCUCCACCGUCCAUCACCGCCUUCAUAGUUCUACUACCUCUACGGUUCUACUACACUUUCGGUCGGAAGUCACCGCAAAAUUUUUUGUUAAAAAAUAAAAGUUUUAUUAUUAUUAUUAUUUUGUUAAUUUGCUUGGUUUUAAUUCAGUUUUUUUUUUCUCUAUGAUUUUCAAUUGAACACGUGUAACUUAACAUGUUCCUAAUUUAAAGAUAUGGCGUCAAUUCAAUCUUGUCACAUGUUUAAUUUGUCAUUUUGGUGAAAGUAAGAACUGAUAUUAAUUCUUCUUACAUGUGAGAUUUGUUAUCAUUGUACAGAGACGUUUAAGAUUUUAAUAAUACUAUAUUUAUUUAGUUGGAAUACCUAAUUUGUAUAUCAAUUAAUAGAAUAAAUGAUGUGUCAUAAUUUGAUUGCCUCGAGUGAUAGUUAAUUAUUAAACCUUAUUAUUUAUAAUUCAAAUGAUGAAUUUUCAGUAGUGACAAAUUAGUUGGAAUAUAAAUUCUAUAAUCAAGAUCUUAAAUAUGAAUGUUAUACAUCCAUUAAAUGAGUGUAAUACAAUAGAGGUACAGUAGAAUCUCUUCUACAAACAAAAAAAAAAAAUCGGUAUCUUAGAUUUAAAAUAUAUAUAUAUAUAUAUAUUGUCGUUUAUUUGUGCAUGAGAAGAAUAAAAAAGGCCAUAUAUGAACCCAACUUUAGCCGGAGCAAAUGCGAGUUAAUUAGAUAAUAAGAGAAACGUAAUGAUAGCCGUGAAUGGCGAUAGGAAAUGCAUCAACUUGCAUGAUCAUUGAAAGAUUUCACUUGUGGGAUUAAGGGUUUUAAUAUGAUCGUAUGUAGGCUAUUAACUGUAGUAAAUAUUGAUUACGCAGCCAAUUAGUCAUUUAAUCUUUGUAAAACUAUCCAAGAAACACACAACAUUAGAAUUUCAUUCCAUCCCUCGCGAUAACUCGAGAUCUUGUGAGAGAUCAUAAUUUAGAGCUUCUUAUAUAUAUGUGUUGUUAGCCAGACUCUUGUUCAUAUAUAAAACAAUUUUUGUACACCUCGCAUAAUUAUUACUACCAAAUCAUCGCUUGUGUACGACAUCCUUUUCCAAAGCUCUAUAAUCGCAUUAUCUCCCUUUCAGCUUUCAAGAAACUAAUUCAUUGUGCAUGAUAUUGAAAUUCUAGUGAAACGGGUGUAUGAAGUUCCAUGUAUAUAGCAUUGGAAAUUCACGUUACAUUUUAAAUAUUAUAAAUGUAAUGUGAUCACUUUCGCAUGCUAGAUUCAAUACAAUACAGCAUAUUAGUUGUUCAAGUUCUUGGUUUUGUUUACGGCAAACAUGCAUAUUAAUUUCCAUCAAUACGACACAACAUUAAAGAUGAUAACAGAUGAUGAAGUGGAACAAGUGCAUGAAGAAAAUUAAACACAGAGAAAUAAAUAUAUAAGAAAAAACCCCAAUGUGCAUGCAAUUUCAUGUCGGACACGUAUGCAGAUGGUGAUUCACUCGAAGGCUACUCAACGUGUUCAUCAACCCUCCUGGACUCAUCUUGGUUCAAAGAAGAAGCCAUGAUUGGAGAUUCCCAGUUUGCUUCAAGGCCAAAAGUUGAUGCCGCUGCAGUCGAAACCAAAGGAUCCGAUGAU